CCUGCGGAGGGAUCAUUACAGAGUUAUCUAACUCCCAAACCAUUGUGAACUUACCAUUUGUUGCCUCGGCAGAACCUACCCAGUACCUACCCGGGAACGAGCUACCCUAGUAGCGCUGACCCGGUGUGGGCUACCCUGUAGUGGGCUGCCGGUGGACUACUAAACUCUGUUAUACUAUUGUAAUCUGAGCGUCUAUUUUAAUAAGUCAAAACUUUCAACAACGGAUCUCUUGGUUCUGGCAUCGAUGAAGAACGCAGCGAAAUGCGAUACGUAAUGUGAAUUGCAGAAUUCAGUGAAUCAUCGAAUCUUUGAACGCACAUUGCGCCCAUUAGUAUUCUAGUGGGCAUGCCUGUUCGAGCGUCAUUUCAACCCUUAAGCCUAGCUUAGUAUUGGGAAUCUAACCGCAAGGUUAGUUCCUCAAAUCCAACGGCGGAUCUGUGGUAUCCUCUGAGCGUAGUAAAUUUUUAUCUCGCUUUUGUUAGGUGCCGCUGCUCUCAGCCGCUAAACCCCCCAAUUUUUUGUGGUUGACC
rnacentral:rRNA from 1 species